GAAGACUAAUUUGCUGAAUGAAAAAAAAAAAACCUGAGGAUCAGAUGGUGACAGGUGUCCCAGCAGGGUCAGACAGCUGCCAGAGAAGACCAGUCUACAGAGCUCAGGAUAAGAUGGUGACUGGUCUCAACAGGGUCAGGCAACUAGGGAAGACCAGUUUGUGAUGGCGCUGAGGGGAACUCUAGGAGAUGCAGCAAACACUGGACAAGCUAGAAACUUCAAAGAUUAAAACUAUUUGCAGGCAGUUUGACAAACUUCUAAAGUUGAUUUCCAAACUGUAUUAAGAGGCUUUUCCCGAUGACACAAAACAUGUAAAACAGAAAUGUGAGGAAGAUCUAGGAGACACUACUGAUGAUUGGAUACAGUCAUGUUCAUAUAAUCUCAGACAUAAAUUACUCCAGUUUAAGACCCUCCAUAGACUGUACUAUAUGCCAGUGAAACUGAAUAUCAUGCUUUCAGAAAUGUAAUUCCUCUGCUGAAGGUGUAAAACACAAAAGAGGACAUAUUUCAGUAUGUUAUACUCUUGUGAAGGCUGGCUGAAUUCGGGCAGUGUUCUUUUAUCUCAGCAUGUCUACAGAUUCUCCCUUCUCCCUGUUUUUGUUUGCUUGGGAAUGUUGAUACUGGAGACUCUUACCUGAAGAAUCUCUGUAACCAAGCAUUUAUGUCUAAGAAAUGCUUUGCAAUUAAUUAGAUGGUUGGUUAUCCUCCCACGAUGUAUGGCAGAAAUGUCAAGUUAUGUAUCACUAGAUGAAUUACAAGAUUAAGAGUACACUGUGCAACUUUCAUAAGGUCUGGAUGCCUUAUAUAGAAUACUGUAAGACAAAAGGAGUCUGUAUUGAAAACAUGCCCAUGUCAGGGGAGAUACCUAUUUAGGCAAUCCCUAGCUGCUGGGCUGUUCAGUCCUGGCUCAGGGGGUCUGCCGUACUGUCACUCUGGCCUUGGCCUAACACACCUGAAACCGAUAAUGAAUGUUUCACUAAGAUCCUAAAGCAGACUGGGGUGUUUGGUUGGGGCGGUGGACCCCUGAGGGCAGGACGAGAUGAUCCAGCUAUAUUGUGUACAAGUAAAAAUAGCUCUACAGUAAGAUUAGGCCUAUGGUAUGAAUGACAGUGCCCUCUGUAAUUAUUGGGACAGUCAAGCAUUUUUUUUCUAAUUUGGCUCUAUGCUCAAAGUUUGGAUUUGAAAUUAAACAUUGACUAUGAAGUUAAUGUGCAGACAGUCAGCUUUCAUUUCAGGGUAUUUUUAAAAUCAAUAUCGGGAAACUUAUUUCGAAAUUACAGAACGUUUUGUACAUAGUUCCCCCAUUGUAGGGAAGCAAAAGUAUUUGGAC
ensembl:lncRNA